UUUGUACGUGGUGCUGAGGAUCGAACCCGGGCCGCACGCAUGCCAGGCGAGCGCGCUACCGCUUGAGCCACAUCCCCAGCCCGCUUGGAUCACUCUUAAGAGCUACUACUUAUCUUUUACUGCAGGUCCUGGCCUUCUCUGAUAUGGUAUAGAAGUUUAGGAUGUAAUGAGUUCAGGAAGAAAAGCCAGGUGAAGAUUUUGGCACAGGGGUGAAGACUUCUUCAGCACACAAAGUCACAUCAUCUCCAUUGAUCUCAAGAAGAGAGGACAUGCCACCCAGUGAGGGAGCAGAUGGGCAACCACUAAGGUCAUCCACAACUGUAAUGGAGAG